CUUGAUUUAUUCUUCCUUUUUUCCUUUUUGAUCAGAAGUUCAACUAAACGUAUUUGCUCAGAUAGAAAGGAUAUUUUGUAACUAGUGAGCCCAUUCCAAGGUUAAUUCGUACAUAUAUAUGGUACAAUAGAAGGAUUGAGAAGGGACUGGAAUUUGCAGCAGGACUUCUUUGAGAACUAGCAACUGGCUCUACAGUUAUGCUCACGUAUAAUACGUGAUGAAUGGAUUAUAUGGGCCAGUGCAAGACCCAGACCUGGAUUUUCAACUUGGCGAAGAAUUAGAAACCGGUGAGGGAGAACUAAAGAAUUUUGCUGUUUUCUAUCAAACCAGAAUCUCUUCUUUAUCAAAUGAGCAUCACUGGAUUAUGUAGACCCCCUGGGUCCUUGGUGUAUACACCAAUUCUUCUGUGUGGGAAACUGCAACAGAUCAUUUCUGGGACAGCCAGGCUCAACUCCAGCUUUCUCUGCUAUGAUUUGGUCUCCUAAGGCUAUCUGAAGCAUCAAAAGUGUUUUCCUCUACUUUCAAAGGAGACAGUGAUGACUGAUGAAGGUUGAAAAUACCAGCCAUCAGGAUUUUGAGGGUGUCCAGGGUCGCCGAUAAAUAGCAGGAGUGAGCCAUUUGUGGGAGGUUGUAGCGGAAUAGCUGCCAAUGAGGCGUCUGACAGCCUUACUUUGUUCACCACCUCCGUAACCAGCUCUGCUUCUAAAUAGUUUCAGAUCAACACGUUCAUUGAUCCAGAAACGAAAGCAAGGCAGAGUUGAAGGGGGAAAGAAACAUGGAGAAAGACAUUUUAGCUCACAUGGAGGCUCUGACGACCCAGGCAAAGGACGCAGAUUCAGCUGCUGCAUACACGGGAGCCCCGCCUACCAUUCAAACUGCACUGGAAGAUACUAAUCUUGAUGCAAGUAGUGGGGGAAAUGUGGGGCAGGAAAGCAUGGGUCCAAGAGAGGGUGAUGAGGUGGAAAAAAUGUCCAACCUCAGUCUGUGUCUGGAUAUGGAAGCUGAGGCCCCACGACCACAGGCAGCUCCCGAUCACGCUAUAUGGCAGAGGGCUAACAUCAGGGAACACAUAGGGAAGAAAAACAGCCGUAAAAGGAGGAAUAGGAAGGAAAGGAAGAUGGUGUAUCUUCCUUGUCCUCUGACGCUGCGGACUCGAGCAUCUUCGGCAGCCCCAGUUCUGGGUCACGCUCCUGUCCUAGCGCCUCUGUUAGAGGAUGAUAUAGAAGUCAGUGUGGAGGAUGAAGCCUGGGAGCAAAGGCAGAGUGGUGAGGGUAAAAAGGCAUCCACUCUCAGUCAGUCUCGGAUGGCACCGGCUGGUGCCCUGUUGCCAGCAGGAAGUCCAACUCAGUCCUCUGCUGAGUGGGACUCUCUGGUGGACAACCAGGAAAUAAAACUAGAGCAGGAAAACAGCCAUAAAGGAAGAAAUAAAAAGAACAAGAUCCUGCGUAGCCCCUGGCCUCUGACGGUACAGGCUUGGGCAUCUUACACGAACCCAGGUCCAUUACCCACAGCUCCUGCUGGGGCUUCAGCAGUUGCCAAUGAUGGAGUUAACACGGAGCUUCGAAGCAGGGAUCUAAAGGAGGAGAAAGAUAAAGUGUCACUGGUUACUUCUUAUCAGAGUGCUCAGGCUGGCAGCCCGUGCUCAGAUGUGGCAUCGGGCCAUGGCUCACUGGAGGAGGUUUCUUUUGCUAAAGAUGGGUUGAAUGUAGGGGAGAAAAGUGGGUGUACGAGGAGGGAUAGAAAAGACCAAAGUGUCUUGUCUCCUUCUUGGCCUCUGACAGUCCAAGCUUGGACCUCAUUCAGAGCCAAAGAUGCGGUUCAGACUCUCUUGCAGGGUGAGUCUUCCAUGGCAAGUGUAAGGAUAAAUAAGGACCAGAAAAACUGGCCUCAGGUGGAGAAUGGUAAGGAAGAAGCAAAGCCCAUUCUUCCUUGCCCUGUGAGGGACCAGGCAGAUGCCUCCUUCGCAGCCAAAGCUCUGGGGCAGGAUUCAUUUGAAGGGACUUCUGCUCUGGAAGACCUAUUUUCCAAGCUGAGUCAAGGCAGGAGUGGGUCCCAGCGGGGAGAGGAGAGCCAAGUGCAGGGCAGUGCAGAGAUUUCUCUGGAACCUUCCCAGGAUUGGAGAAAUACAGAGAGAUGCCCAGGGGAUAAGGAUUUGCAGGAGUGCGUGGUGAUGAAUUUUGCUAGGCAAGUUGACUGUUAAUGUGGGAAGCUCUGCUCUCAAGAGAGGAUAGAAACUUUGACCCUGACCAAAACCCACACCCACAGGAGUUCUUCAGUAAUGGGGAGGCAGGGACAACGGAGGGAGAGGGCUGAAUAUCAGAUACCCUGGAUGGGGAAAUGGGAAGAUUUUUUAAGAUGCAGGAGAGAAAAGAAAGGAAACUAAGAAGACUCUAGGCCUUGGAAGUGUGACCAUCUGUCUCUGCUCAGGAGAAAGAUGGGUUUAAAAUGCUACUCUGAAGAAAGAGAGGCUCGCUACACAAAUGGUCUAUCUUAUCCUGUUAUACUGUAUCAUCGCAAUCCAUCUCUUGAUGGGAGACUGCUCGCCUAAAUAAGUUUUAAGUUUACAGGUGGUAGAUGCUAUAUGGUUGGCACAUACAGGCUAAUGUUUUAGAAAAGCAAAAGUCCUUAUGCUGUCUAUCCUUUUCCUAUAAGAUUUUUCACAUCCUUGGGAGAGGUCUGUUACUUAUGGCUGGGAAAUGGUGUUAUGAGUCUAGAGUGUAAACCAAGGACAGAAUGUGUAUUGUAUCCUAAGAACACUACUCUUGACUGGAAAAUGUUACUGCAUGUUGCAUAUUAGAUUGUAAACUGCCUUCAUGGUUGCAGGGAGCUCCUGGACUGGCCAGUUUACAAGCGCUGAGAGCACAGACUCUAGAGUCACAAUGCCUGGGUUCAAACCCCAGCUUUGACACUCACCCUCUGUGUUCCUCUGAGCAACUCACUCCUGUCUUCUGGCUCCCAAGUUCUGCUUCUAUCACCUGGCGAUAAUAAUAACCCCUGCCUUGUAGAACUGCAUGAGGAUUAAAUGAGUUAAUACAUGUGAAGCCUUUAAAAGAGUACUUUGCAAAUAAUAAGCCGCCAAACGACAUCAGCUAUCAUUACUUUAUCUUGCAGCAUUAAAUUUCAUGGAAGGGCAUGGCAUUAGCAGGCCUUUAACAUUAUGUGUCUUACAAGUUAUACAAACAGCAAUGUAGACGUAAGACAGAAGAUGAUUCCUGCACUUAAAAAAUCAUGGUAACAACAAUUCUUAAAGCCAUGGACAUGCUGUUUAAGGAGGAAACAAGUGAUAAAAUAGUAGCUAUGAUUUUGAAGUGGUAGGAUUUCAACCAUGUCAAGAAAAAUUGCUGCAAUAAACUCUGGGAAAGAAAUACACUACUAUGUUAAUCCUGGUUAUUUCUGGAUGAGGGGGAUCAUGUGUGAGGAUGUUUUUCUGUUUCUUCAUUCUUUUCCAUAACUCCCAAGUUUCUACAUUACCAUGUCUUCAGCAAAUGAUCAAAAAAAAAAAUUAAUGAGGGGAAGAAGAAGACUUCUCCACAGUGAACUUGUUAGAGGGGAGUCACCCGACAUGAGGGGACCAGACCUUCCCCAGUGAACACUCCCCAGCCUGCAGCUCUGGAAAAGAGAUUCAGGUGCCUUGGACCGGGGUUGAAUAGAGCAGAG
ensembl:lncRNA